GGGGGAGGGGUAAUUAGGUCUAUUCCAGUUGUCUACGUAGCAAAAGAGGAGAUUGAUAUCCGUAGGCAUGUUUAAAGUAGACUAUUUUAAAAACCGUUUGUUAUACCAGCAAGGUACCCUUUAGAAAAUAAUAUAUAGGGUAUACGUCAAGUCUACGAAACAGAGCAACCCAGCGAAACAAAACAAUAUAUCGUCAUUUUCUUUCUACUUGAGAAUAGUAAUUUAAC
rnacentral:lncRNA from 1 species